UGUCUUCAGUGAAGAACAAAAACAAAGGAAUUUGCCUUGCCAUUCCAAAACUUUUGGAGGGGACUGUAUAUGAUCAGGCCCUGUUAACAACCACAGACUGUUUUCCGAUUCAUGACAUAAUAUGGUGAUGGUAUCGCCUACGGUCCUCCUCCAGAUCUCCCUGUUACCUGCAAAACACUUUCUUGGGGAGGGGGUGCAUGGUUUGUCUGUCUGUUCAAGGACCAUUGAUGUUGAUUUCCACGCAUUGUGAUGCUUGGCGGGCAUCCCUAUUCCAUGAACUCGGCCCAUGAUGCUCGAAUACACUGGUCUAAAACUGGUGGCCCGCGUGCUGAAUAUGUCCCCUCAAGUCAUUUUAAUGCGUGCCGCGUGUGUAUAUCCAUUUCUGUCGCUCUGACUUGGGUCCCUUAGAGAGGAGAUGUCUUGGACAAGAGGGCCAUUGAAAUGGGUGUAGCCGUGAGCAAAUAUACUGAGUGUGGACUCAUCUGAGAAAUAUAAUUUUACCCACUAUACAAUGAUGGACAUGAAUAGAGAGGCCUGUUCUAUAAACAAUAUUUCUGUGUUAUAACACCUACUUAGAGAAGUUACUGUAGGACUGUCAGUGUGUUUUGCAGUUGUUACUGGAAUCCUCGGGUGGACAGAGCUUGUUUUGACCGAGGAUGAUUUUUGUAGUAGAUUGUAGUAUAAAAUCCACUCCGUAUUUCAGAAGAAACACCAUUGUGACUGCCCAUCCGUCACACGUCACCCUUAGGUGUCUUUAGCUAGCUAUGUGUCGUCCGUUAAAAAGUAAAAGUGCUCAAAGGGUUUCUCUAUGUACACGCAGAGAUUGUGAAGUGUGAACACAAAGUUUGUGGUCGUCCUGAUCCAUCAUGGGUCAAUCUUUAUCCCUCCUCUUUCAAUCUUAUGUGUUGUUGAUGCUGUGGGCAACAGGGCAUUUAAGUGCUGCUUCCUUUACUACACAUUUCAUUUGUAUUUUUACAAUUCUUUAGACUUUUUUUGGCAUCCCUCUUCUGACACGUAAAAACACUUGUAAAGAGCUGUUACAUAGACACAGUCAAUGAGUUGUUCUCAAUCGAUCACAGUCUGACUUCUCUCCCUUAGCCGUAGAAUAUGCACUCUAAUUCUAUUGAUAAAUUAUUCUAGAUUCAUGUACUGUAUCUAGCGUGCAAUCAUCAUAGCAGAUAAGACUUGGCUGUCACCAAGCAGCUUCAAGACAAACCAGAUAGCUUGUUAUUAUAUAUCAAUCAUUAUUUGCACCUUCUCAUGUACAAAAAAAAUUAUAAAACUUUUAGAGAGGAAUAGGAAUCAUAAUUUUUUAUCGAAUGCAAUGUUAUGUUGUUGGGGUUUCGUUUCAAAGAAAAGGUGCAUUUCUCCUACAGAGUGUAAUGAACUGUAUAAAGUAUUUAUGCAACUAUUACUGGGUUUUUAAUGUGUUUUUUUUUUUAAACAAUUAUUGUAAUUUCAGCAAGUUUGUUUACUUGUUGCAUGUCAGAUUAACACCACUGACUUUCUGUGUCAGUGCUAUGUACAUGUUUUAUUGGCAUUGCUAUUGUUAUUUUUUUUGUUCAUUUUUCUUAAAAAAGGCAUUGAGUUGUUUUAAGCUGUUAUAAGCCCCGAGUGACAGGUCUGUGUACAGUUGUGACAGGAGUGCAUUUUGUACUCUUUAUGGAAAAAUAAGGUCUGACCAAAAUGAAAUCCUGGAUUAUUUUGGCGGUUAUAUGGGACUGCGUUACUACAGUAUCCAGGGUGCAGUCAGGGAUGAGGUAAUGCUGAAUGUUCAUUGUAUAUUCGUCAUCAGUACGAUAAUGAGAAAAAAAAAACUUAGAAUAACCCCUACAGAAGCUAUGUUACAAUAAUGCAAUAGAUCUGGUACUUAUUCUUUUAAUUUCAUUUCGAUUAAAUACUUGCUGUUUACCACCAA
ensembl:lncRNA